CCUACGGGGGGCAGCAGUGGGGAAUAUUGCACAAUGGGGGAAACCCUGAUGCAGCGACGCCGCGUGAGUGAAGAAGUAUUUCGGUACGUAAAGCUCUAUCAGCAGGGAAGAAAAUGACGGUACCUGACUAAGAAGCCCCGGCUAACUACGUGCCAGCAGCCGCGGUAAUACGUAGGGGGCAAGCGUUAUCCGGAUUUACUGGGUGUAAAGGGAGCGUAGACGGCAGCGCAAGUCUGGAGUGAAAUCCCAUGGCUUAACCAUGGAACUGCUUUGGAAACUGUGCAGCUAGAGUGCAGGAGAGGUAAGCGGAAUUCCUAGGGUAGCGGUGAAAUGCGUAGAUAUUAGGAGGAACACCAGUGGCGAAGGCGGCUUACUGGACUGUAACUGACGUUGAGGCUCGAAAGCGUGGGGAGCAAACAGGAUUAGAUACCCGAGUAGUC
rnacentral:rRNA from 1 species